GACGAACGCUGGCGGCGUGCCUAAUACAUGCAAGUAGAACGCUGAAGGAGGAGCUUGCUUCUCUGGAUGAGUUGCGAACGGGUGAGUAACGCGUAGGUAACCUGCCUGGUAGCGGGGGAUAACUAUUGGAAACGAUAGCUAAUACCGCAUAAGAGUAGAUGUUGCAUGACAUUUGCUUAAAAGGUGCAAUUGCAUCACUACCAGAUGGACCUGCGUUGUAUUAGCUAGUUGGUGAGGUAACGGCUCACCAAGGCAACGAUACAUAGCCGACCUGAGAGGGUGAUCGGCCACACUGGGACUGAGACACGGCCCAGACUCCUACGGGAGGCAGCAGUAGGGAAUCUUCGGCAAUGGACGGAAGUCUGACCGAGCAACGCCGCGUGAGUGAAGAAGGUUUUCGGAUCGUAAAGCUCUGUUGUAAGAGAAGAACGAGUGUGAGAGUGGAAAGUUCACACUGUGACGUAUCUACCAGAAGGGACG
rnacentral:rRNA from 1 species